rnacentral:rRNA from 1 species
UAGGGAAUCUUCCGCAAUGGGCGAAAGCUUGACGGAGCAACGCCGCGUGAGUGAUGAAGGUCUUCGGAUCGUAAAACUCUGUUAUUAGGGAAGAACAAAUGUGUAAGUAACUAUGCACGUCUUGACGGUACCUAAUCAGAAAGCCACGGCUAACUACGUGCCAGCAGCCGCGGUAAUACGUAGGUGGCAAGCGUUAUCCGGAAUUAUUGGGCGUAAAGCGCGCGUAGGCGGUUUUUUAAGUCUGAUGUGAAAGCCCACGGCUCAACCGUGGAGGGUCAUUGGAAUCUGAAAAACUUGAGUGCAGAAGAGAAAAGUGGAAUUCCAUGUGUAGCAGUGAAAUGCGCAGAGAUAUGGAGGAACACCAGUGGCGAAGGCGGCUUUCUGAUCUGUAACUGACGCUAAUGUGCGAAAGCGUGGGGAUCAAACAGG